rnacentral:rRNA from 1 species
AACGGACGCUGGCGGCAGGCUUAACACAUGCAAGUCGAGCGCCCCGCAAGGGGAGCGGCAGACGGGUGAGUAACGCGUGGGAAUCUACCCAUCUCUACGGAAUAACGCAUGGAAACGUGUGCUAAUACCGUAUACGUCCUUCGGGAGAAAGAUUUAUCGGAGAUGGAUGAGCCCGCGUUGGAUUAGCUAGUUGGUGGGGUAAAGGCCUACCAAGGCGACGAUCCAUAGCUGGUCUGAGAGGAUGAUCAGCCACACUGGGACUGAGACGCGGCCCAGACUCCUACGGGAGGCAGCAGUGGGGAAUAUUGGAAAAUGGGCGCAAGCCUGAUCCAGCCGUGCCGCGUGAGUGAUGAAGGCCCUAGGGUUGUAAAGAUCUUUCACCGGUGAAGAUAAUGACGGUAACCGGAGAAGAAGCCCCGGCUAACUUCGUGCCAGCCGCCGCAGUAACAC